GGGAAAGAUGGCGUUAGGCCUAACACAUGCAAGUCGAACGGCAGCACAGUAAGAGCUUGCUCUUACGGGUGGCGAGUGGCGGACGGGUGAGGAAUACAUCGGAAUCUACUUUUUCGUGGGGGAUAACGUAGGGAAACUUACGCUAAUACCGCAUACGACCUACGGGUGAAAGCAGGGGAUCUUCGGACCUUGCGCGAUUGAAUGAGCCGAUGUCGGAUUAGCUAGUUGGCGGGGUAAAGGCCCACCAAGGCGACGAUCCGUAGCUGGUCUGAGAGGAUGAUCAGCCACACUGGAACUGAGACACGGUCCAGACUCCUACGGGAGGCAGCAGUGGGGAAUAUUGGACAAUGGGCGCAAGCCUGAUCCAGCCAUACCGCGUGGGUGAAGAAGGCCUUCGGGUUGUAAAGCCCUUUUGUUGGGAAAGAAAAGCAGCAGGUUAAUACCCCGCUGUUCUGACGGUACCCAGAGAAUAAGCACCGGCUAACUUCGUG
rnacentral:rRNA from 1 species